UACGUAGGGGGCAAGCGUUGUCCGGAAUUAUUGGGCGUAAAGAGCUCGUAGGCGGUCUGUCGCGUCGAAUGUGAAAACCCGGGGCUCAACCUCGGGCCUGCAUUCGAUACGGGCAGACUAGAGUUCGGUAGGGGAGUCUGGAAUUCCUGGUGUAGCGGUGAAAUGCGCAGAUAUCAGGAGGAACACCGGUGGCGAAGGCGGGACUCUGGGCCGAUACUGACGCUGAGGAGCGAAAGCGUGGGGAGCAAACAGG
rnacentral:rRNA from 1 species